GGGGCGAAAGCCUGACGGAGCAAUGCCGCGUGAGUUGAUUGAAGGUUUUCGGAUCGUAAAGCUCUUGUUGCCAGGGAAGAACGCUUGGGAGAGUAACUGCUCUCAAGGUGACGGUACCUGAGAAGAAAGCCCCGGCUAACUACGUG
rnacentral:rRNA from 1 species